rnacentral:tRNA from 1 species
GGUAAGUAGCUCAGUGGUAGCAUACUUACCUAGCACAUAUGAGGCCUGGGAUUGAUUCCCAGCACCA